AGUGAACGCUGGCGGUAGGCCUAACACAUGCAAGUCGAACGGCAGCACAGGAGAGCUUGCACUCUGGGUGGCGAGUGGCGGACGGGUGAGGAAUACAUCGGAAUCUACUUUUUCGUGGGGGAUAACGUAGGGAAACUUACGCUAAUACCGCAUACGACCUACGGGUGAAAGCAGGGGACCUUCGGGCCUUGCGCGAUUGAAUGAGCCGAUGUCGGAUUAGCUAGUUGGCGGGGUAAAGGCCCACCAAGGCGACGAUCCGUAGCUGGUCUGAGAGGAUGAUCAGCCACACUGGAACUGGGAGACGGUCCAGACUCCUACGGGAGGCAGCAGUGGGGAAUAUUGGACAAUGGGCGCAAGCCUGAUCCAGCCAUACCGCGUGGGUGAAGAAGGCCUUCGGGUUGUAAAGCCCUUUUGUUGGGAAAGAAAUCCAGCUGGCUAAUACCCGGUUGGGAUGACGGUACCCAAAGAAUAAGCACCGGCUAACUUCGUGCCAGCCGCCGCCGUAA
rnacentral:rRNA from 1 species